UACGAAGGGGGCUAGCGUUGUUCGGAAUCACUGGGCGUAAAGGGCGCGUAGGCGGCUUUAUAAGUCGGGGGUGAAAGCCUGUGGCUCAACCACAGAAUUGUCUUCGAUACUGUAGAGCUUGAGACCGGAAGAGGUAAGUGGAACUGCGAGUGUAGGGGUGAAAUUCGUAGAUAUUCGCAAGAACAUCAGUGGCGAAGGCGGCUUACUGGUCCGGUUCUGACGCUGAGGCGCGAAAGCGUGGGGAGCAAACAGG
rnacentral:rRNA from 1 species